AAAAUGAUACUUUAAGGGAUUAUUUAUAUAGUUUGCUACCAGAGAAGUCUCUCCGAUCAUGCAUAGCACCCGAAAACAUGAGGAGGAGACACAGAAUCCUCAGAAUCCUCUCCUAACAGUGAAGCCUGUUCUAGGUCUUGCUUUUGCAACUGCCUUUUCCCAUUGAUGAUUGUUCUUCUUCUUUGAAAGAGUGAGAGGCAGAGGAUGCAGGUGGA